rnacentral:rRNA from 1 species
CCUACGGGCGGCAGCAGUGGGGAAUAUUGGACAAUGGGGGGAACCCUGAUCCAGCCAUGCCGCGUGUGUGAAGAAGGCCCUCGGGUUGUAAAGCACUUUCAGUGAGGAAGAACGCCUGGUGGUUAAUACCCAUCAGGAAAGACAUCACUCACAGAAGAAGCACCGGCUAACUCCGUGCCAGCAGCCGCGGUAAUACGGAGGGUGCGAGCGUUAAUCGGAAUUACUGGGCGUAAAGCGCGCGUAGGUGGCUUGAUAAGCCGGUUGUGAAAGCCCCGGGCUCAACCUGGGAACGGCAUCCGGAACUGUCAAGCUAGAGUGCAGGGGAGGAAGGUAGAAUUCCCGGUGUAGCGGUGAAAUGCGUAGAGAUCGGGAGGAAUACCAGUGGCGAAGGCGGCCUUCUGGACUGACACUGACACUGAGGUGCGAAAGCGUGGGUAGCAAACAGGAUUAGAUACCCGAGUAGUC